GUUUCCAUGCACACAGGUGAUGCCCAGGAGCUCCACGUUGGGGGCGGCCAGCGCCAACAUGAUGGCCUGAGCAUCGUCCACACCACAGUCUACGUCUACCAGCAGCUUUUUACUCAUCGUGGAGCCUGUGGAGCACAGAGCCUUAUCUCACCUUCCCACAGAUCCGCUGAUUGCAAUAUUCCGUGUUCCUGCCGCAACUCGCCUGAGGAUCACCGCCAUGCAAGACGGACGAAGAUCUGAGAGGAGCGCGGAGAGGUCUCACUCCGACGUGAUUUCAGCCCAACUGUUCACACAUUAAAUCAUCUGACUUUGAAUUUUUAUUUUGUUUAAAAAAAAUCACAAUUGUACAAUACAGUUGAACUUUAAGGGACAAGGUACGUUUGAACCGUUUGUUUUUUUGGUACAAUUGACACAGGCAGGAACCGGAAACGGGUCGCUUUUUCGUCUUUUCGUUUUUAGCCGAGAAAAACAAAAACAAGAAUUCUGCUCGAUUUCUUGUUUCACUUUUCUUACUGACGAACAUGUAUACCACCCGAUGUUUCCUUUUCAUUGGUGGGCGGGUCUUCUGUGCCCCCUUGCUUCUGAUUGGCUAUGUUUGCGCUGUACUCUUCAAAAUAAAAGUGCUACCUCCUGCCUUCA